rnacentral:rRNA from 1 species
UACGGAGGGUGCAAGCGUUAUCCGGAUUUACUGGGUUUAAAGGGUGUGUAGGCGGACUUUUAAGUCAGGGGUGAAAUCCCGAGGCUCAACCUCGGAACUGCCUUUGAUACUACUGGUCUUGAAUGUUGUUGAGGUGGGCGGAACGGGUCAUGUAGCGGUGAAAUGCAUAGAUAUGACCCGGAACACCGAUUGCGAAGGCAGCCCGCUAAGCAACUAUUGACGCUGAGGCACGAAAGCGUGGGGAUCAAACAGG